rnacentral:rRNA from 1 species
AUUGAACGCUGGCGGCAGGCCUAACACAUGCAAGUCGAGCGGAGCGGCGGACGGGUGAGUAAAGCCUAGGAAUCUGCCUGGUAGUGGGGGAUAACGUCCGGAAACGGGCGCUAAUACCGAAUAAUAUCAGAUGCGCCUAGGGCGGAUUAGCUAGUUGGUGGGGUAAAGGCCUACCAAGGCGACGACCCGUAACUGGUCUGAGAGGAUGAUCAGUCACAGUGGAACUGAGACACGGUCCAGACUCCGACGGGAGGCAGCAGUGGGGAAUAUUGGACAAUGGGCGAAAGCCUGAUACAGCCAUGCCGCGUGUGUGAAGAAGGUCUUCGUAUUGUAAAGCACUUUAAGUUGGGAGGCGUUACCAACAGAAUAAGCACCGGCUAACUUCGUGCCAGCAGCCGCGGUAAUUG